rnacentral:misc_RNA from 1 species
AAGUCGUAACAAGGUAACCGUAGGUGAACCUGCGGUUGGAUCAUUAACAAUAAACUUGUUGAUAAAAAUUUCGAAAGAAAUUUUCUUCUUCAACACUUUUUUCUUUGUGAAUUUUGUGGAUUGUAUUUUGGUGUGGUAACGGAGCGGUUUUUUUAAAAAAAUCACUCUUAAUAAAAGGAAAUUUCCUUUUUAGCCCACCAUGUUAUAUUUUAAACUUUGUAAUUUUUUUUUUUUGUCUGUUGAUCUUUUUUGUGAAAGAAUUUUUAAAACAACUUUUAACAACGGAUCUCUAGGCUCUCACAAAGAUGAAGAACGCAGC